UACAGAGGGGGCAAGCGUUGUUCGGAAUUACUGGGCGUAAAGGGCGCGUAGGCGGCCCGCUAAGUCGAACGUGAAAUCCCCGAGCUCAACUCGGGAACUGCGUCCGAUACUGGCGGGCUUGAAUCCGGGAGAGGGAUGCGGAAUUCCAGGUGUAGCGGUGAAAUGCGUAGAUAUCUGGAGGAACACCGGUGGCGAAGGCGGCGUUCUGGACUGUUUCUGACACUGUAAAACGAAAGCCAGGGGAGCAAACGGG
rnacentral:rRNA from 1 species